rnacentral:rRNA from 1 species
CGGACGGGUGAGUAAUGUAUGGGGAUCUGCCUGAUGGCGGGGGAUAACUACUGGAAACGGUAGCUAAUACCGCAUAACGUCGCAAGACCAAAGAGGGGGACCGUUAGGGCCUCUUGCCAUCGGAUGUGCCCAGAUGGGAUUAGCUAGUAGGUGGGGUAACGGCUCACCUAGGCGACGAUCCCUAGCUGGUCUGAGAGGAUGACCAGCCACACUGGAACUGAGACACGGUCCAG